rnacentral:rRNA from 1 species
AUUGAACGCUGGCGGCAUGCUUUACACAUGCAAGUCGAACGGCAGCGCGGGGCAACCUGGCGGCGAGUGGCGAACGGGUGAGUAAUAUAUCGGAACGUACCCAAGAGUGGGGGAUAACGUAGCGAAAGUUACGCUAAUACCUCAUAAGACCCAGGGAUGCAAGCGGGGGAUCGCAAGACCUCGUGCUCCUGGAGCGGCCGAUAUCUGAUUAGCUAGUUGGUGAGGUAAAGGCUCACCAAGGCGACGAUCAGUAGCUGGUCUGAGAGGACGACCAGCCACACUGGAACUGAGACACGGUCCAGACUCCUACGGGAGGCAGCAGUGGGGAAUUUUGGACAAUGGGCGCAAGCCUGAUCCAGCAAUGCCGCGUGAGUGAAGAAGGCCUUCGGGUUGUAAAGCUCUUUUGUCAGGGAAGAAACGGUAGAGGCUAAUAUCCUUUGCUAAUGACGGUACCUGAAGAAUAAGCACCGGCUAACUACGUGCCAGCAGCCGCCGUAAUAC